UUCUUGGGGCUUGUUGGGUUGUCCAUCACAAUAGCAUCCCCAUUAUACUUCUCCACUUCCUCUUUCCCUCUUUAGGAAUGACCCCAAAGGAGCCCUGCAUUAGAGCACACUGGGUUCAUAGUUUACCCUCCUCACUGCACCCCAGGAAGACAAGUGAAGCCUGGGUGACUCCAGAGACAUGGAGGCCUCCCCAGGCCAUGGGCAAGGUGAAAGGUCUGGGAAUACUCACCAUCUAGGAGCUCAGGCCUGCUUGGACCAGACUUCAGGAAAACCUGAAGUGAGUGCAGACUCACUCAGAGGUGCACACACACACAGGCACACUCACACGCAGGAUAAAUGCCCAUGCAGACAGGCAUGCACUCUCACAUUCUAGCACCUGGCACCCUGGUUCUGGCUGGACUCACUGUGAAAGACUCAGCCUGUGUCUUACUUCCCUGGUGCCCAUCUGCAAUCCCCCCAGGGUCUUUGGCUAUUGAUGGUUUCACAGAGAGACCUGGACUCAGCUCUCUGGGGCCCCUGGGAGAUCAACCCAUGGUUACGAUUGACACUAGUUGCCUGGGAUGGACCAAUUGACCUCUUGGUGGUUCCCAUCAGUGUCUGGGAGACAGUGGUCAUGAUGCAGGAAGCAAGGACCCAUGUGGAGCUCUGCCAUUAAGUCGAUGUGGGAACAAUCACCCUCGACUGAAAUAUGGGCACUUCUAAUUCAUCUUUCCUCCAGAACAACCUGCUUCCAUAACUGGCAGCCCUGCCCCACCAGUAGACUAUGUCUAAAGCUUCCUGUGCUCUCAGGGCCAACUGAAGCCACCCAGGACUGCAGACUGAAGAUGGGAACUGUAGCCAGCACUACCUGGGGCUCACCCCACCAGCCACCCCACUCCCAACCCAGCUCGCUAGGCUUUGCCAAGCACCAGGCCAGGCUCAGCAGCUUGCGAGCCAUGUAACAUGCCAGAUAGAUAGUGGAGGGAACAUGUAACUGAGUAACCAGCACCAGAGCUGGGCCACACAUUUUUUGUUUUUCAUGCAGCCUGUAUUUGCGGGAGGGUGGUGGUAUUGAUGGCUCUGUGUGCCCCAGGGGUCUCUGUCCAGGCACUCUAGUGCUUCUCUGGUGGCUGUCCCUCUCCACUGGUCCAUAUUUCAAACUUCAGUUUGGGGAAUGGGCCAUCAGCCUAGCAUGCCAGAGAGGAUCCCUCACAAAUGACUCCUGAGACCCCUGGGUGCAGCUCGUACAUGUUUUUAGUCCCUUUGGGACCUUGGCUUGCCUCCCAGCCCUUCCUCCUCAGGCUCUCUGGCUGGUCCCUGCUGACCUCGCACUGAAGAUCCUAGCGCAUUCCCCCAGGAAGGCUUGAGAUGGCGAAGAACUCUGCUUGGAGAACCCAGCUCUGGACACCUGUCUCUGGGCUUUGGCAGCAGGAAGCUGGCCACUGGCCUUAGCCGUCAGCUAGAAUGGGUCAUUUUCUUAGCAGCCAUGAAUGCAGAGGUAUUUCUGGUUAGUCUCAUAAGAACAAAACCAUCCACUUCCCCAGAGUCCUCACACAUUCCACCCAAAAAGCAAAGGAGACACAGGCCUUCUUGGUCUUCAGGAUCCCAUAGCUGUUUCCCUGAACAGGGAAGAAACUUUAGCCUUGGGUUUUCUCUCCAUUCCAUGACACAGGGCUCCAGGCCACUGCAGCUUCCGGACAUCAGUACCCGAUAGGUGUAAAGUGCCUACUCCCUGAAGAAAGAUCUGAAAGUAUUUUUUUGAUGACAGUGGGGAAUAUGUCUGGAUUUUUGGACUCAAUGGCACUAAUUAUAUCUUCUGAGGUUUAUGUGUAAAUAUGAUUUUGUGAAACUAAUCAUAUCUCUAAAGAGGAAAAAUAAACUCCUGCAAAGCUGC
rnacentral:lncRNA from 1 species